rnacentral:rRNA from 1 species
CGUCAUCGUAGGGUUAGUCGGGUCCUAAGUCGAGUCCGAAAGGGGUAGACGAUGGCAAAUUGAUUAAUAUUUCAAUACCAACAUAUAAGCGCGAUGUGGGGACGCAUAGAGUUAAUCGAGCUCACUGAUGGAAUAGUGGGUCGAAGGACGUAGGUCGUAAAGUAGGCAAAUCCGCUUUGCAAUAGACCGAGAUCUUACAGGCAGUACAAUCUCUUCGGAGAGCGGACUGAAUCCUUGAUACUGUCGUGCCGAGAAAAGCCUCUAAAUGAGAACAUUCGUUGCCCGUACCGUAAACCGACACAGGUGGGUGAGAUGAGUAUUCUAAGGCGCGUGGAUGAACCCUGGUUAAGGAACUCUGCAAACUAGCACCGUAUCUUCGGUAUAAGGUGUGCCCUAUUUGUUGAGGGAUUUACUCCCAAAAGCAUUGACAGGCCGCAGCAAAGAGUCCCUCCCGACUGUUUAC